CUGCUUCGGCAGCACAUAGACUAAAAUUGGAACGAUACAGAGAAGAUUAGCGUGGCCCCUGCGCAAGGAUGACACGCAAAUUCGUGAAACGUUCCAUAUUUUU
rnacentral:snRNA from 1 species